UGGGGCAUGGACUUGGCUGGAACAUACUGUGGUGCAGUGACUGAGGGGGGCACCGCGGAAGGCCUGGUGGUAACUACUUGCUUAUUCCGAGUGCAGUCAAACCUGGCAGGGAGGCAGGGCUUGGGAAUGGGACUCAAGGACCAUGCCUCUGGCCAGCAGGGACGAGGGUCAGUUAGCCGGUCAUCUUCGUGUCCCCUGUCAUAGGACCCUGUUUUCAGCUGUUAUCACCACCUCACCCUGCUGAUGAGCCCCAGCGAGCCCUGCAGGAGGGGGUGAGGCACAGCAGGUUCCUUUCUCGGCGGCGGCUCCAGGCCCCACCUCUGGCAAGACCAGCGUUACUCUCAGCCUCUCUCCCCCCGACAUGGCUCCAAUGAGGUCACCAAUGUGGACUGCACUUCACCUCAAAUCCAACGCAACGUCCUGGCCAUUGGACGCUCACAGUGACCACCAUGCCACUGCCUGGGCCGCCCCGUUUGUCCCCAACCCUCUCUUCACCAUGAUCAGCUUUCAUGUAUGGUGUACCCAUGACAUAACUAACUCCAUCUUAGAAAAAGCCUCCAUUUCUUUUCAUAGAGCACUCUGCCAACAAGGAGAAGAUGUUUUGUUUAAUAAACAAAUAAAAAAAUAAAGCACACCCUUCCACUGCCGGUUCUCACCAGAGGGCCCUGUGACCAUACAAGAUUAGGCCUGAAUAGCUCCAAAUGGCCGUCUUAACCGCCACUUUAUUGCAGUCACUCGUGAUGAGAGCUUGGCAUCUGCCGCCAGAAGCUCUGCUACCUUCAAGAUUUUCUUGUAAGACUGAUGAACACUUCGGUCCAGACUGGGUCUCCUUUUGUCUUCUUGGCUCCCCCUGGACUGGUUCAUUAACCCUUUCUCCUAUCACUUUUUCUUCUUGAUGUUAAAUGUUACUUUGUUUGCCAUGGAAUGUUUAGCUUACAACAUUUAUAGGUUAAGUAUACUAUUAUGUAUGGUUUGCAAUACUGACUGACUUAUGGAGUGGCAUCAGCCUGUGUGCCCGCAGCUCUGGCUGCAAAGUAAUGGGAAAUACUACAGAGAAUUGCCUCCUUAGGUGCUCCAUGUAGCUCAUGGCUUUUGUGAUUGAAUCACAAUCAAUAAAACCUGACACUGUGGAAAGACACAAA